rnacentral:lncRNA from 10 species
CAAUAUACAGAGAGCUUUUAAUGAUAUUUUAUUUAAUUAAUAUUUUAUUUUAAAAAAGGACCAGUAGAGGAACCCUGAAAUGAGUAUGUUCUAGCUGAAAUAUUGAAGAAUAUCCCAUAAGGCAUCAGGAAUCAGCUAAUGCUUCACUUACAAAGAGUGCCUCCUGGCAUGCAAUGCUCAAACUUUCUACAGAUUGGCAGAAAAAAUAAUUAUUGUGAUUCCACUGUGCAAGAUGCGUGGGAAGGAAGGGGUCCUGGUACAUAGGACUUCAUUUUCAAUAAAGUCUCCUAAAGAGAUAAAAGAGCAACAACUGAACACUCAAUUUUAUUCUUUGUUCAGCUUGCUGGAUCACAAGCAAUGCUUCUUUCUGGAGUAUUUUUUCUUAGAAAAUAAUAAGACAUAAUGUAAAGUAGGCUGGAAGAGUAGGGAUUACACUCAUUUCAGAAUCAAACAAAUCAGGGAUUGAAUAAUCAUCUCUUCUGCGUUCUAGCUACAUACCUUGGGCAAAUUCAUUAACUUUUCUUAGCCUCACUUAGCCCACCCCAUACAUGAAGAUAAUGAUGCCUAAUGUGAAUGAUUAACAUGUGCCUAUCAUCUUGAAAUGUUUCUGGAUCAUAAUAGGUAUUCUAUACAUUAGGUCUCUACUAGGCUAAAGUGAGAACAAAGCAAAUAAGAAAAUACUAAAAGCAGAAUAGCAUGAACAAGAAUGAUCAGUCUUGUGUCUAUGAUUGUUGUUACUCCACAGAUAAAUUUUACCUAAUUUGAUCAUAGGUCAUAUCAUAAUCAUCUUUGACAAAAUACAGCAUUUUACGGUGUGAAAUGAGCGAUAUAUCUGGCAGUCAGAUCUAGCAUUGAUAAGGGAUAAAACUAAUCAUUCCAUUGGUGGAUAGGAAGAUGUCUUAGUUUGCCUGACUUUAGGAAGUUUUUGAAAGACAAUAGAUUCAUUAUCUGAGAAGCAAAGUUUGGUGUAUUUUAGGUUUUACUUUAGAGCCAGUAUUUGAAAAAAAAAAAAAAGUUCUAUACUAUUUGCCAAAUAUAAGAAACUGAUGAGAUGAUAAAAUUGCAAAUAAUGAUUGAAAUGUUAGAAUCAAAUGCCCAGUAGCUAGUUUAAAUGACAAUGACAGUUGUUUUUUAAACAUUUCCACUUACAAUUUUAGGAUUGAAGAGGCCUUGAAGGUUGUUUUAACCUAGACUGCACUUUUAGUGUGGCCCUGAGGUCAUUAUCCUGACACAUUUGAUGCUCAAUUUUUAUGAAGCAUAAUAAUGAAUACCAGCAUAUUAAAGGUGAAAUAAAACCAGACUGCUUGAAAGCAGAUGUAUUCUCCUGGGGAUACUUCAAGAGAAUUGGAAUGUGGGUUGGGGUACCCUAUAUCAAAUAAGUAUUUGCUAGAAAACACAUUAGCCAGGAGAUAUAAUGUAAGUGCCAGGGUACUCCACUGCAGGGGUCCCCAACUCUCAAGGCUGGACCAGUACCAGUCAAUAGCCUGUUAGGAAUCAGGCCACACAUCAGGAGGUGAGUGGCGGGCAGCAAGCAUUAGUGCCUGAGCUCCACCUCCUGUCAGAUGAGCAGCAGCAUUAGAUUCUCAUAGGAGCACAAACCCUAGUGUAAACUGUGCAUGUGAGGGAUCUAGGCUGUGCACUCCUUAUGAGAAUCUAACUAAUGCCUGAUGAUCUGAGGUGGAAUAGUUUCAUCCCAAAACCAUCCCCCUACCCCAGCUCCGUGGAAAAAUUGUCUUCCACAAUUCCUGGUGCCAAAAAGGUUGGGGGCUGCUUCUCCAGCACAUCAGUCAAUGUUUGAUUGGAAAGCCAGAAUCACCAUAAGUAUCAAUGGAAUAAGAAAAUUAACAGAGGGAUGAAGGCUUACACAAAUGUAGAAGUCACUAGGGAAGUGGAUGUUUGGCAGGCUGCAGCUGGAGGAUUGGGAAACAGUCCCUGAUGACUUUAGCCUGAAGCACUGGAGUGGGCAGAGAAGCUGGAGCUCACCCAGGAGUCUGAGCAGCUGCUGCUCCCUGUCACCAUGAUCCAAAACCAGGAACCCACAGAGUUGUCCAUGGAAAGCUUCUCCACCACACCUUCUGGGAAUAGGGUUGCCUCUUCACUUUGGCCCUCUAGUCGCAGUUCCUCUCUUUAGCAGCCUCUAAGCCAGAACCAUAGAGGGAAUGGGAUUUUGGGAAAUGUAGUUCUCAGUCUUGGAAGGGCAUAGUGCUGCUGGUGCUGAGUUGGUAAGAAACAACCCAGCUCACCUGGUUACGGUAUAUGCUCAGAUGUGCUGACUCUCUCUGGAGAGCAGUAAGAGUGUCACAGAAUGUUUGGAAAGAUGGAUGUCCCAUAGUAUUUCUUUUAGGAUUCUUCCUGUGAGACCUGCAUCAGAAUGACUGUCAGAAUCAGCCUAUUUUUUUUUUUGAGAUGGGGUCUCACUCUGUUGCCAGGCUGGAGUGCAGUGGUGCCAUCUUGGCUCACUGCAAACUCCACCUCCCAGGUUCAAGCGAUUCUCCUGCUUCAGCCUCCUGUUCCUGGGACUACAGGCACACACCACCACAUCCAGCUAAUUUUUGUAUUUUAAGUAGAGACGGUGUUUCACCAUGUUGGCCAGGAUGGUCUCAAUCUCUUGACCUCGUGAUCUGCCCACCUCGGCCUUCCAAAGUGCUGUAAUUACAGGUGUGAGCCACUGAGCUGGCUGAAUAUCAGCAUUUUAAACUAGCUCUCUGGGUGAUUAAUGUUUAGCUUUCAGUUUAAGGAUUGCUGAUUUAGACAUUUUCUCAAUCAUCAGGGUGAACGUAGAAUUUUGGUUAGGGGAAGGAGCCAAUUUUACUGCAACGAAUAUAUAAGG